UUGAACCCGAGCGCGAGCCUCACAGUUCUCUUUUAAUCCAACGCGUAAUGCUUUGCCUAUCAACUUUCUGUUUUCCCACCUUUUGAUUCUCCGCACCCUCCUGUUUUUAUCAAUUCUUUCAUUCUUCCGAAUGUUUUUUUCCAGUCGCUCUAUUCUUGCUAUUCUUUCUAAUGGCGUUUGAAAUGGAUUUUGUGCAGCGAUCGGAAAACAGUGAAUGUGGUGUUCGGUGAAAGAGGAAGAUUAGGAUUAUUGUUUACGCUAGAAAUAUGCACUUUUGCGACUUAAUACGUUAUAUACUAUCUUGUUAGUUGGGAUUAAAAUAACAGACGAAAAUAAAUAAGUAGGUAUAUGCAAUCGUGUUUUUGUUUUGAUAAAAAUGAGCAGUGAUAUUGUUAAAAUAGUUUCAGUACGGUUUUAGUACUUGCGAGAAGAUAAGAAAGUAUUAUGAAAUAUUUGAUCACAGGGAAACAGUGGUAGUUGUCAACCGAUCGUAUUUCUCGCCCUCUUCAACCCUAGUUUCUUAGAACAACUGCAAUGAAUCGAAGAACAACCGUAUUCACUCCUAGUCAAAAGUUUCUUUCUGUAAUAUUUAUAAAUAUACCACGUACAAUGAUACCGAUACCUUCGUAACGUAAUAACCAAACUGCGAAUGUUUAUGCGUUUAUGGGAAAUGUGACGGUAGGAAAAUAUAGAGAAUACAUAUAACAUUCAAAAAUAUAAUAUUCAUUGUAAAAUUUAAUAGAUGAGACAGGUUACUUAUACUUGGUUUAUUUAAUUCUCUAUAUAUAUGUACAUAUAUAUUAUACAAAAAUAUAAACACCAACAGGACAAUGAUCCUUUGCUACGUAACAUUAAAUUUUUGAUAAAAACUGGAAACUUCAUUUAAAACGCUAACGCUACUCCUCCCAUCUCGGUAAAGUAGCAAAGUGAAAUAAAUAUAAGUGCCCUCCUUAGUAUGCAACAUUUGAAACACUUUUCCAUGCAGCGAGUAAUUUUCAAGCAAUUUGAAGACGCCAACUUCUCGAAAGGCAAAAAAUCUAAAUAAAAAGGUGGCUGAAAAAAGAAGCCACCCCAUCGUUUUACCAAGAAUUCUUUCCAAUCGAAUGCUCUUCUUCCACAGACUUAUGAAGAAGAGGUGGAAAACACGAGUCAAAGAUGAGAAAGACAAAAGGGGAAAAGAGUUCGUCGGAGAACCGGAAGGAGACAUGAAAGGAGAAUCCCUGAGACGGUCUCUUCUAUAAGGGUAGGGGAAAAAGCGAUCGAACGAAAGACAGGGAGUUGGAAAAGCGAGAAAGAAGGAGCGGCGGCAGCGUACACGUACACUCUGCAUAUUUAAUGCAAUCAGAAUGCAUCGGGCCAAGAAUAUCGCGGAGAAGGAGGAUGCAAUUUUUCUCGACAAAAAAGAACGACCCGGUGAACGUGAUCUUUAUUGUCAGAAGCUAGAUUUCUUCUGAAUUUAUAUCGUGAAAAUAUACGUAUAUAUGUAUAUAUCGGAGUCGUGCUACGAGCGUGACAAUCGGAGGAAACCUUUUCUACCAGCUAUUCACUGUGAAAGACGUUUCUCUUAUAAUUCUUCGCGAUUAUAAAUUAAAAACGACAAGAACGACGUUCGAACCUGUUUUCAGGGGAUUGAUUAUUCGUUUCCUUUGAUAGAUUUGAUUUCUAAAAAUAAUGUAUCAUUACGUUCAAAAUAUACAAGAUCUAGCAGAUGAUUAUUUUACAUGCAAAAGUAAGUGGAAAAUCUAAUAUAAAGUUUGUUCGUUUGAGGCCUCGUUUUCGAGAAGAUCGAGUUUGAGAACUUGUCUGGUACACGUGAACUUGGCUAAUUCUCGAAUGGAUACGAAUAGACAAUCGAUAGAAGGUUACUCUACGUAUGAAAAUAAAUCAAACACGUAAAAUAAAUCUUGUUGCUUUCGAAGCCUCGUUUCAGUUGAAUUUUGAUACGUUUAAUUCGAUACACGUACAGAUGAUGAAUUUUUUAAUUCCUAUCGCAACGUAUAUAUAUGCUAAAAUGUAUUUAAAUCGUUCGGGAACAUUGAUCAACAAUUUCCUAAAUUAAAACAUAAAAGGAAGCGGUGAUUUUACGGCCAGUAUCUUCUGGAAGAUUUUUAUUUUUUACAAUUUUUUACGUUUCUUCACAAAAGUGAUCCAACUUGUAUAUUUUGAAUAUAUAUAUAUUGCUACGUCCGGUGACUCUCCACAAAACCAGGUCCCACGCCGUGAGCAAGAUGGCAGCCAGAUGUCCACACACCCUUACUGCGUAUCCUCAAUGGCCUUCAGGACCCACUAUAAAUCUUGACAUUUUCACAGUUAUAAUCCAAGUUACAGUACCACGCCAAAAUAAUUUACUUAUAGUUCUCAAUGAGAAUUGAUUGCAAAAAUUCUACCAAAUAAAAAAAAAGAAAA